rnacentral:rRNA from 1 species
GCAGUCUGCAACUCGAGUGCAUGAAGCUGGAAUCGCUAGUAAUCGCGGAUCAGAAUGCCGCGGUGAAUACGUUCCCGGGUCUUGUACACACCGCCCGUCACACCAUGGGAGCCGGUAACGCCCGAAGUCAGUGGCCCAACCGAGAGGGGGGAGCUGCCGAAGGCGGGACUGGUAACUGGGGUGAAGUCGUAACAAGGUAGC